GAGUGAGGAAAAACUAAACCCCACAGUGAGGUACUGUGAUGUGCUUCUCAGUUUCUAAGCAUGACUAUGCCACUUCCAUAUAAUGAACCUCUCUGAGUCUUGCAGAAUAGCUAUUCACCAAUGCUGUUGUAAGGAGAGGAAUGUCACCCCCAUGAAGUUGCUGGGACAAGGUGCUCCUCAUCCGCAUCCUUACACGCAUGAUGGCACCCACAAGCAUUCCCUCACAAUGCAUUGCCAAGAUGGUUCAAGGAUGAAUUUCAGAGUUAAGAGUUGCUGUUUUGACACUGUGGAGGAGAUCUAAGAUGAAUUAUUGCAGAUGAUGCUUGACACACUUAAGGAAGAAGGCAUCUUGGGAGCAUUGUGAGCAUGGCAGAGUCGCUGGUAUUGCUGCAUGAGGUGACUCCUUUGAAGGCGAUUGCAUCAUUCUUUAGAUCAAGUAGGCAUGAUUCUAUUUUUUUAUGCAUGCAGUCUUGGAAGUUUAUGACUGUGCUUCAUGCAGAAUUGCAACAGAAGUUGAUUUUUGUUUUGUUCGGGUAAAGUCAUAGCAUUGCUUUGCUAUGUUAUGCAGUAAAGCAACUAUGACAUUUGAAAUGUACAUGUGUGACUGUAUAUAUUUUCUACUAGGCAAAAUGGUGGCUUUAAUCCAUGUUGUGUAAAUAAAGUGGUAAACUAUCAAA